rnacentral:rRNA from 1 species
AGUCGAGAAUAAUUCACAAUGGACGAAAGUCUGAUGGUGCAACGCCGCGUGGAGGAUGAAGGUCUUCGGAUUGUAAACUCCUGUCAUUUGAGAGUAAGACCUGGCGGUGAAUAGCCGACAGGGUUGAUAGUAUCAAAAGAGGAAGGGACGGCUAACUUCGUGCCAGCAGCCGCGGUAAUACGAAGGUCCCGAGCGUUGUUCGGAAUCACUGGGCGUAAAGGGAGCGUAGGCGGUUAGGUAAGUCAGAUGUGAAAUCCCGGGGCUCAACCUCGGAACUGCAUCCGAUACUGCCCGACUAGAGUAAUGGAGGGGUAACUGGAAUUCUCGGUGUAGCAGUGAAAUGCGUAGAUAUCGAGAGGAACACUCGUGGCGAAGGCGAGUUACUGGACAUUUACUGACGCUGAGGCUCGAAGGCCAGGGUAGCGAA